rnacentral:rRNA from 1 species
UAGGGAAUCUUCCGCAAUGGGCGAAAGCCUGACGGAGCAACGCCGCGUGAGUGAUGAAGGUCUUCGGAUCGUAAAACUCUGUUAUUAGGGAAGAACAAAUGUGUAAGUAACUAUGCACGUCUUGACGGUACCUAAUCAGAAAGCCACGGAUAACUACGUGCCAGCAGCCGCGGUAAUACGUAGGUGGCAAGCGUUAUCCGGAAUUAUUGGGCGCAAAGCGCGCGUAGGCGGUUUUUUAAGUCUGAUGUGAAAGCCCACGGCUCAACCGUGGAGGGUCAUUGGAAACUGGAAAACUUGAGUGCAGAAGAGGAAAGUGGAAUUCCAUGUGUAGCGGUGAAAUGCGCAGAGAUAUGGAGGAACACCAGUGGCGAAGGCGACUUUCUGGUCUGUAACUGACGCUGAUGUGCGAAAGCGUGGGGAUCAAACAGG